rnacentral:lncRNA from 1 species
UUUUAAUUUAAACCAACAAAAAUAGCUUCUUAGCAAAGAACAAUUUCUCAAGCAAGAAUUUUGCUAGGACUGAGAGUGGUCAGGGGGUGGGGAAACUGAAAAGUAGAUGUUAUUGGCAGAGAGGUUUGGAACUCAUCGUAAAAUAGCUAGGUGGGACAACCACAUAUCACAGUCAUAGUAAGUACAUUUUUCCUCAAAGUUGCUAUCAUCCCUUGUAUGAUCUAAAUUGAUAUUGUUUUAUGAUGAUACCAUCUAUCUUUUCAUAUUUGUGCAAAUCUUUCUAAAACAUUAAAUGGACACAAUUCAAUCGGUAUCAAGAGGUUAGAAUAUGUACUGUAUGCUAUGAGAAUAUGUUGAAGGCUAGCUGUAUUGGGUGCAGAUGACUGAACUGCUCACUUUUGUGUCUGUGUCUGCAAGUAUCUGACCAAAUUUGAACAAAAUCCAAGGUAAGAAUACUGUCAUGUGCAUGUUUUGUUAAUCUGUAUAAUUACUAUUUUAGCGACUCUCAGACUUCACCCCGUACACCAUGAAUAUAACAGGAAACCUGUUUGAUCACCAUGUACUGCAAAAUCAUUCUGGCUAUGGAUACGGAGAACAUCAACACAUUAACACAUCAGAGGAUAUUCCCAUUGGACUCGGGGCUCUGCUGGGAGUUUGUCAGAAGGAUCCAGUUGACCUUGACUGGAAGCUCAGGGGCUGAAAUUUGUGAAGAAGCACCAGAAGCUGCUCAACAUCCAGAUCCCAGAAAUGUCUAUAGUCAUGAUCCUCUGCAGCAUCCCGGGGGUUGUCAUCAGCUGCAUGCAGAUGUUUCUUCUUCUUUUUUUUCAUCUUCUUCUUCUACUUUUCUGUCUAUUUGCAUGGAUGUUGUAUUGUUUCCUAUGCAGACUUUCAACAGGUUCUGUGGUGGCACAGGACUAAAUCUUGAGCCGUUGUCAGAGGAAGAAAUUGGGAAGACCUCUGCAGACAUUAAUUCCACAGGAAAAAGGGAGGAUAACAAGUGGUUUCUACAGAAAACCCCAGAAAAACUCACAAUUCUUCCUGGGAAGCUGUUUGUCUUUUAAUACUAUAUGCCUGGGCAGUCGGAUGAGUCCUCAACCAUGUGGAUGACUGAUGAUGUCCUGCUAACUACUAAAUACAAAAGCUAUUGAAUGUUGCACGAGCAUCCAAAACUCUGAUCCACAAGUUGUUUGAAGGCGCACCUUGCGGUGUGCCUUUACCGGCGUGAAAUCGUAUGAUCUUCAAGUACAUUGUGGAUCUCAACGUUCCCUGGGAUGAGUUGGUUCCUAGCAUUGAGAGUCUCAUACACAAAGGUCUGCUCUCACCUUUAACCCAUGGAGUGCAGCAAGCAUCCAUACACUUUUCAAAUCGUACCAUUCAAGAGUAUUAAGUUCAUGUUCAGGUUUAUUUACCGUAUGUAAUACAUAGGGUACACUGGAAAUCAUACUCAUCAGAGCUCUCACAUUAAAAACAACAGCAUUAAAAGUUUAGUGAUUUUUUUUCUUCUCCAGUAGACUUAAAUAGCUAGCCGGCUACCACCCGGUUACUCAACCCUGCACCUUAGAGGCUGCUGCCCUAUGUACAUAGACAUGGAAUCACUGGUCACUUUAAUAAUUGAACACUAGUCACUUUAAUAAUGCUUACAUACUGCUAUACUCAUUUCAUGUGUAUAUACACUGUAUUCUAAUCUACUGUAUUUUAGUCAAUGUCACUCCGACAUUGCUCGUCCUAAUAUUUAUAUUUCAUUCCAUUAUUUUACUUUUAGAUAUGUGUAAUGUUGUGAAUUGUUAGAUACUACUGCACUGUUGGAGCUAGAAACACAAGCAUUUCGCUACACCCGCAAUAACAUCUGCUAAAUAUCUGUAUGUGAGCAAUAAAAUUUGAUGUGAUUUGAGUUUCAACAAGCACUUUGUCACUCCCACUGCCAGCCAUGCUGCCCCUGUCCCCUUUUGAGUUCUCCCUCAGAGCACCCCCCGCUUCUCCUUCCAGCCAGGACAGGAGAAUGAAGUGCUGUAAUCUGGACCCUUACAAAUCACCUGCGCUCCAUGAUCUGGACCCCUUCUUUCUGAAGCUGUCUUCCAUCAUCAUCUCAGCUCCUAUCCCUUGCCUCUUCAACCUCUCCUUACAAACAUCUGAAGUCCCACAGGAUUGGAAAGCUGCUACCAUCAUACCAAUCUUCAAAGGGGGCGACAAACUAGACCCCAACUAUCUCCAUCUUGCCUUUUUAAAGUUUUUGAAUGUCUGGUCAACCAACAGUUUACCAGCCAAUUGGAGUCCCACAGUAUUCUUUCUGCGAUGCAGUCUGGCAUCAGAACUGGCCAUAGUAGGUGAAGGCCAGAGUACCUCUGCAACACUGAAGAUUCUAAUGACAUCAUAUUUGCUUUUGACAACAAGCGGUAUUGGGCAGCCGUUUUUAUUGAUCUCUAAAGCCUUUCAUUCUGUUAACCACUGCAUUCUGCUCAAGAGACUAAUCAACCUAGGGUUCUCAGAGGAUUGUCUAGCCUGGUUUGAAAACUAUUUCUCUGGCUGUGUACAACGUGUCUAAUCCGAGGGCCUGCUGUCCCAACCACUGGCUGUAUCUAUGGGAGUUCCACAAGGAUUGAUUCUUGGGCUGGACCUAUUCUUUGUGUAUAUUAACAAUGUUGCACAUUCUACUAGUGACUCACUCAUCCACCUUUAUGCGGACACUAUCCUGUACACAACUGGCCCCUCCCUGAACACUGUGUUGACCACCCUACAACAUAGCUUUAACAACAUGCAGCUUGCCAUCUCUGACCUUCACCUAUUCCUCAAUAUCAAAAAACUAAAUGUAUACUCUUCAACCGGAACCUAUCUCAACCUGCCUGCCCUCCUGACAUUCUCACCCUGAACGGGUCAGAGCUAGAGUAUGUCGACACACCUUGGUAUAUGGCUGGAAUGAUCACUCUCACUGCAUACCCACAUCACUCACCUUCAGUCUAAAGUUAAAUCCAGAAUUGUUUUCCUCUACCGCAACAAAACAUCCUUCACCCAAUCUGCCAAGCGCACCUUUGUCAAAAUGAGCAUCUGCCAAUUCUGGACUAUGGCGAAGUAGUUUACAGGCUUGCCCUCCAAACCUCUCUUAAUAAACCACACGUAAUUUACCACACUGCCAUCCGCUUUGUUACCUGUGGCCCCUUCAACACUCAUCUCUGUGUCCUUUAAAUCCUGGGUCAACUGUCUCUCGUCACCCUGACGCCAGAACCACUGGUACCAAUUUAUUUACAAGUAGGCAAGUCCCCCCUCUACCUCAGCUCACUCCUCAGCAACCUGCACUCUGGUAGAUAUCACACUGGUCAUUCCAAAGCCUGCACUUCCUUUGGCCGUCAUUCAUUCCAGUUUUCUGUUGCCAACUACUGGAACGAGCUGCAAAAGACCCUUGACAUAUUCAUUCCACCACACUCCUUCAAAUACAUAUUAACUGAGCUACUAUCUGAUCACUGUACCUGCUGAUCAUUAAAUCUGCUGUGUUGACUUAGACUUUUUCUGGUCUAACCUACUGUCAAUAUUUCUUAUUGUUGUAUAUUGGAUGAAUUUGUACCUUUCCUCUGUAUAGUGUGUUUUAUUUAUUUUUUGUCGUAUUUUUAGUAGUUGUCCUGUUCACUGCUGCAAUGUUAUGCCUCUCGGCCAGGUCAUUAUUGUAAAUGAGAAUUGGUUCUCAAUUGACUUAUCUGGUUAAAUAAAGGUUAAAUGAAUUAAUUAACUCAACUUCUAGCUGCAAAUGUGUACAUGAAAUAAACUAAAACUACAACUUAAGGUUACUUUAAGAUAUGAAGAUUAAGUCCAGAAUCUGGAUCAUCUACCCCAAUUUCUGAAAUAGUUUAUAAGCGCCCAGGUCCUUC